AAUGUGACCACAAACACACAAAAGUCCUUGAUCACAUGAACUGUUUCAUUCAUCCCUGUCUCCAUGCGUAUGUUCUAUGAGACUGUCGAAGAAUAGAGUAUCCAGUUUCCAGGACUAAUGUUUGUGAAAAUUCCAGGCAUACAGACCAGCCAGAGGCUACAGAAAUCGAGUCGGUCUGUGCCAUGAUUCAUAGGUGUUAUGAGUUUGUGGUGUCUAAUACUAUAUUAAGCUCCAAAACACAUCCUCAC